GUUUGGGAAGCGGCGGAGUUGCAGCCCCUCGCUGCACGGGGCUGUGCCCCAAGGCAGCAGCAGGGGGAGCCGCCUCCCCGGGGAAAGGGGCCCUGGAACUGCCGUAAUCCGUGUUCCUUCUCGCGGCUGACACGGGGGGAACUCGGGCUGUUCAUGCGCUCCUAAAAGCUUUCGUUUCAGCAGAUAAACACGAACAUAAAGUAGAAGAGAUCAACACUAAGAUUUGCUGCCAGUAAGGAAAACCGGCCAGUUUUAUGUGCUAGCAGUCCCAGCUUUAAAAUAAACACGAAGAUCCUGCCCAGAACACUUGAACAAUAAAGGACUAGGCACCUGGUGACAGGAGAGAUUUCUGAAGAACUGGGUGUUAAAAUAAGGGCCAAUCCCCAAGCUGGUUGUCAGGGGACACCCAGCCAGCUCCGUUCCCUGCCCCACUGCAGAGGUCACCUCUGCUCAGUGAAAGCUCUUUCAGACCCACCCUCGCCACGCAGCCCUGACUGCUGCUCAUUUGGGGUCACACCUUUGCUCAAAGCCCAGGACCUCCUUUGUGUUAUUCCUGCCUCAAGAAGCCUUUCUUUGCUGUAGUGCAUUAGAAUUUCUCAAAGCUGUGUAUCUCUGCAAAGUAAACUAUUUAUCUUCCAUUUUCCUGCUCAGAGGGCUGCAGGGCAGACCAUUUUUUUCCAAGUUCAAGUGCCUGUGUUGAUUCUCCCUAAUCUGUGCUAUGCCUCCAAAAUACGUGGAAAACUUUCAGCUUCUCUGAUGCUUCCCAGAGAACUGAUUGUGGCACUUCUGAAACAGAGCCAGGCAUCUUCCCAACCCCUGACUCCCACCCUUGUUUAUUAAAUCACAUGCCUUUCAGUUCUUCCUCUUCAAGGUGAAUUAUAUUGUGGACUUUGCUGGUUCCAUACAACACUGCUGAUAAAAACAUCUGUCAUGCAUUCUGGAUUUAGAAUAUUUGUUAAUAACCUUGCUCAGCAAGAGGUGCAGUUCAAAGCCAUGUGAUGUCUGGAGGGUUAGGCUGCUGAUUCCCGAGCCGUGUAGGAGACAAACUGGAAAGAUUUAACUUCAGCGGUCAGGAAGAGAGCAUGUGGUUAGAGAAUACAAGAACAGAAUCUGUUUUAGCAGACUUAAUGCCAAAACACCCUACCAGGAUUUAAUGGUCCAGGCAGCAGGAAGAAGGCUACUCUCUGCAUGAAACUCAUUUCAGGAGACUAACAGCCACUUGAUACUCAGAAGUGAGCCUCAAUGUAGAGUGAGUUAGGCAUCAUUUCCUUCAAGGCAUCUGGGAAGAUUUUGGACAUUGCAUUGUUUUAUGAGUAUGUACAUAUGUAUUGUCUAUCUAACAUAAAUUUGCUAAAUAAAAUUUGAAAACUGUUUACAAGCCAGAGGUUUUUACAAAAUUCCCUGUGAAGGCAAAGAAAAUGUAACACUCAUAGUUUCCAGGAGGUCAGUCAGCUUUUUGGAGCUGUGACUGGCUUCAGGUUUUUUUCCCCUUCUGUCCUCAUUGAUCAAGCCCUCUCCAGGCAGUAGGUCCUUACUGCUGAGCAGGGGCCUCUCCCUGGAAGUUUCAUUUGCUCUCAUCCCAUUCUCCUCCUGAUCCUUGCUCAGGGAUCUGGGUCCUCAGGACAAGCCCCUUCUGGAGCUGGCAGGACAGCCCAGCCUCUGUGAGAGCUGUGGGACUCUACACCACAGUUCCUUAGGGAGGAGGAAGAAGAAAGCUGCCAGGCAGAGAGAAGGGAAGGAGUUUGAUUUAGCUACAGAUUGAGGGCCCUUUCCAAACUCAGCAGAUACCAGCAGAAAUCAAUGGCGUGUUUCAGCUACUAAGUCACAGCAAUAAACCUACAGGUAAUGAAUUUUUGGGGGUGCAGUUGUUGACAGCAUCAGAAUGUCUGGGCUUUAGGAUGCAGGAGAUGGAGACCAAUGUUUUUUAAGCAGUAUGUACUUAGAGUGGGGACUGAAUCUGUACAUUCAACUGUAAAGUCUCUACUUGAUGAAGUAAUAUCCUACAGCUAAGUUAUGCUCAGAACACUCCUUGUUAAAUUACCAUGACUUUGUUUUUUUCAGGUUUGAUAGUCUAUGAGAAACUUCUUAAUGUGGCAAGUGGGUGUGGCUUGUCUAUAUUCUCUAACUUUUUAAUCAUUGCCAUUUAGAAACAAAUUCAAGUAAAUUGGUACCAACUCUCUCCUGUAGACAUGGGUACCAUGUAAAUGAACUAGUUUAAAAUAUAAAUUGCAUCACAUCAAAUGUAUUCACAUUAGGCAAGCACUGAAUUAAAUACAUUAGUAUAAAAAUCCAACUUUUAGCUGGUGUUGAAAAAUCAGUAUAAAGGCUGUAUUUAGAUCCUUUGUCGCUACUUCUCUGGCAAGGAGAAUAAUAGAUUAUGGUUUGCUUAAAGUCCUAUUAUACUAGCAAAAUACAGUUUGAAAGUGAUCUAAUUAUUUUGCCACAGCUUAUUAAUGAAUUCCUACUCUGUUAAAUUAUCUUGGGUUUCUUAAAAAGCUAAAAGAACUUGGAACAACUGACUCCUGGACUGCCAGGAGAUGGCACUGAUGGCCCACGAGCCCUCACACACACAUGCAUGGAGCCUGGAGUAACUGCACUGUCUCCCCAGCUCUUGAAUCCUGAUAUUGCAGCCUGCUGGCAUUAGAGCCCAAGGGUGCAAGCAGAGAGUAGCCCCACGUGCACUAUUUGUAACACACACCAGGAAGGCUUUAGACAUAAAACAUGCAGUUAUCUGUCAUGUUACCCCAAAGCAAUGUCUGGAGUGCAGUCACCUCUCCUGAGACUGUGGGGAGAAAAGACACAAGAGCUUUGUGAAUAAUUUUACCAUAACGGGAAUGCCAUAAACCUUUGUAGUUUCACCUUUUGUAAGUUACAGUAAAUUCAGGAACUACAGAGAAACAUACUCUACUAUGUUAAUAUCUGUUCUGUUACCUUGGGCAGCAAUAAAAUUAAUCAUGACCACUCACAGGCAGUAUCUCCUCUCUACACGUUAUUCUUAGAUGUAGAGUCUGAAAUUAUAAUUUGUUUUUAAGGAGUCAAGAUUUCCCCUAACAGAAUUAAAGGUUUCAGUGCUAGAGUCUACAAUUGGCUUUACUUCUAGAUAUGUAAUAAGCUUGGAAAUAAAAAGACAGCAUGAAACAAUAUUAAGUACAUAUACUUUCAGUUCCAAAACAAGAAGAACAAACUACACAGGGCACGGUACAACCGACACUUUAUUCCUUUGUGAUGGAGAUAUAUAGUAUUGAAACUGCAAGAGUCACCCAAAAAAAAAAAAAAAUUAAAAAAAUCAAAGUGCAAACCUCUAUUAGAACUGAUUAUGGAAUGUACUGAUGUUUUUGGCACAAAAAGUGGGGAAAUAUAUACUGCAACAAGAUUUUAAGUUUAAUGAAUGUAACGCUUCCGUGCUCAGUAGUCACAUUUGUGCACUGCAGAACAAUACAAUGUAAAACAGUGACUAACACGAUUCACAUACAACUCUAUACAAUUUACAUCACACAUCCAGUUAAAACUUCUCUGAAAAUACAUGAGGUCCACUGAUACUUUGUUCACAACCACUUAACAAAUACCAUUCUUUAAGCAGGCUUAUCUUUUCAGCUUCCUUAUUGAUAAAAGCAAAAAUAGACAAUCUUAAAUAGUAAGUUAUUUUCCUCCAAUGGUUCCAUGUGGAUGUUGAUGUUUUCUAUUAAUUUGUCUCUGACUUCACUGAUUAAACAUACAUGAAGCUGAACAAAAUCAAAAGCUCAUUGCUUCCAUAUUUUCCAAUUUGCUGUGAACAAACAGCAUUCUGUAUACUGUCUUUUUGUUUUCAAACCUGGACAUAGUGGUGCCUAUGAGCUCUAUUCCUAUCACAUGGAAAUCACCAAAAAAAAUCAGAGCAUAGCUUCACAAAGUGGCAUGUAUUGAAAACUGACUAUUAACAUGGUAAACACAAAAAUACAUAAAUGGAAGAAUUCAAGUUUGUUUCAUAAGGUACAGUAUGCAUUCACAUUUUCAUUACAGAGAGAGAGACACUGUAUUCACAUCCUGUUGAAGAAAGAAACCCACAUAUCACAGAUCUCCCUAAACUCUUAGCAAAGAUAAUAUCCAUGAAAUAUCUAUAAUGCACAUUCUGUCUCUUUCAUUUCAACUGAGCUAAACUGAUUGCUGAAAGGAAAAAUCAUUUGAUGAAUAAUUCAAGCCACAUUGCUGAGCUAUUACCACAAGAACUUCUGUAUGGGUCUGCUCUGUCAUACAGCCUGACAGUUGUUAUCAAGAGUUUUAUGUGGGCAAUUAUCAGUGGCUCAGUGUCUCAUCUCCUUUUUUGGUUUGAGAUUUGAUUUUAUUAUUUAUAUUAAUCAAGAAUGAUGAUUUAUAUCAGGCAUCUGAGAAAUGUUCUGGUGACAAAAUGCACCGGACAUGCAUUAGAUGCACAUGUGUCACUGCAGAAAUGUCCUCACAAAUGAAUUGUUUGGGCAACAGAAAAAUAAACAGCAAACAGCAAGAACAAGAAACAUUUGGCAUGAUUUUAGUUCUUAGUACCACACUGCAAAUACAUAAACUGAAGUGCUCAUAAUAUUUUUCUCUCUAAUGCCAGAAUAAAGAUUAGCAGGAGAAGCUGUGAGGUGAAGGUGAUCCCACUAACCAGCUUAGGUAACUUUUGGCAGCAGACUAAGAUGUAAUUUUGAGCAUCUAUGUUAAGAGGCUGUGAUUCCUACGGAGGCCAAGAGAGAGAGAGAGCAGGUGUGGUUUUAAAGCACCUAAAUUUUGUGCCAGAAGUUAGACAGUUUGAAUACAACAAUUGAAGGAAUUCAGGUCCCUCAGCCACUCCCUUGCCUUCUGUACACCAAAGUGCAGCCCUGAAGCCAAGGAAAACUAAAUGGCAAGAGAUGAAAACCCAACCUCUCUGUCUAUAUACAGCUGUUUCUCAGCUCUGAAAUCCCGACUCAUCCUCUCCCUCCCCUAGGGAGCCAGGGGAUUUCAUUGUCACCCAUUCUAAGGCUUUCAAGGACACAAGGUAACAGCAGUGUCAUCGGAAAUGGUUCUCUUUUUUCUGGAGAAAUCUUAAAAAGAGGAGUCACCCAGGAGGCCAGUUACUCUCUGGAUCUACAGCUCCUGCUGUCAUCCUUUCAGCUCAAAGAAAGUUGCUCAGACUCAAAGCAGACCCUCUCAGUUUUUCCUCUCUCCUGGCACCUACUCAAAGAGGGAGUGAGUUUAGGACAGUCCAUCAUGGCUUGGGAUACUGUGAA